rnacentral:rRNA from 1 species
AGGAUUCCCCUAGUAACUGCGAGUGAAGCGGGAAAAGCUCAAAUUUAAAAUCUGUCAGUCUUUUGGCUGUCCGAGUUGUAAUCUAGAGAAGUGUUAUCCGCGCUGGACCGUGUACAAGUCUCCUGGAAUGGAGCGUCAUAGAGGGUGAGAAUCCCGUCUUUGACACGGACUGCCAGGGCUUUGUGAUGCGCUCUCAAAGAGUCGAGUUGUUUGGGAAUGCAGCUCAAAAUGGGUGGUAAAUUCCAUCUAAAGCUAAAUAUUGGCGAGAGACCGAUAGCGAACAAGUACCGUGAGGGAAAGAUGAAAAGAACUUUGGAAAGAGAGUUAAACAGUACGUGAAAUUGCUGAAAGGGAAACGCUUGAAGUCAGUCGCGUUGUCCAGGGAUCAACCUUGCUUUUGCUUGGUGUACUUUCUGGUUGACGGGUCAGCAUCAAUUUUGACUGUUGGAAAAAGAUCAAGGGAAUGUGGCAUCUUUAGAUGUGUUAUAGCCUUUGGUUGCAUACAAUGGUUGGGAUUGAGGAACUCAGCACGCCGCAAGGCCGGGUUAUUAACCACGUACGUGCUUAGGAUGCUGGCAUAAUGGCUUUAAUCGACCCGUCUUGAAACACGGACCAAGGAGUCUAACAUGCCUGCGAGUGUUUGGGUGGAAAACCCGAGCGCGUAAUGAAAGUGAAAGUUGAGAUCCCUGUCGUGGGGAGCAUCGACGCCCGGACCAGACCUUUUGUGACGGUUCCGCGGUAGAGCAUGUAUGUUGGGACCCGAAAGAUGGUGAACUAUGCCUGAAUAGGGUGAAGCCAGAGGAAACUCUGGUGGAGGCUCGUAGCGAUUCUGACGUGCAAAUCGAUCGUCAAAUUUGGGUAUAGGGGCGAAAGACUAAUCGAACCAUCUAGUAGCUGGUUCCUGCC